GGGGUAUAGCUCAGCUGGGAGAGCACCUGCCUUGCAAGCAGGGGGUCAGCGGUUCGAUUCCGCUUAUCUCC
rnacentral:tRNA from 1 species